rnacentral:rRNA from 1 species
CAAAGGUUUGGUCCUGGCCUUAUUAUCAACUGUUUCCCAACUUACACAUGCAAGUCUCAGCACACCCGUGAGAACGCCCUUUCAACCUUCUCCAGGCAAAGGAGCUGGUAUCAGGCACAGACCCUUGCCCACAACACCUAGUCUCACCACACCCAUAAGGGUACUCAGCAGUGAUUAACUUUGCGCAUAAGCGACAGCUUGACUCAGUCAGGGAAAAUUAGGGCCGGCUAACACGGUGCCAGCCGCCGCGGCUACACCGUGGGCUCAAGUUGAUAUUCACCGGCGUUAAGCGUGGUUAAAGUUUCAUAAAAUUAGGGUUAAAUUAACACUUAGUGGUUUUAUGCUUGAUGUUAAGAAAUACACAAACGAAAGUUACCCUAAACCUACCUUGAACCCACGACAGCUAGG